GUUCCCAAUAGCAUGUUGUUGAUGAGCCAAACACAAAUAUCAGAUAUUCCAUCGUUCUGGAGCAGUAGCCAAUUUCAUGCCACCGUAGCAAACUAUAGCAUUUGCACCAUUCCGAUUGGUUUGCUACGUUUGACCGUAGCAAACCAAUCAGAAUGCCGUAUAUGUCAAUUUUCGCUACGGUCAGAUUCGACCUUAAUGAAUCUGACCGUAGCGAAAAUUGAUCAUAUAUGGGCAACACGCCGCGGUGUAUUUCUGAAGGAUGAUAUUUUCUAAGCUAUAGUCCAUUGCGUAAUGACCCGCAAACGGGCAAUUACAACCGUAUUUUCGGGCGGGAAUUCUUAAAACAAUUAACGUUAUACGUAUUAUAAAUGUCAUCAAUUUGUCAAAAUAAAAUGUUUUAGAACAUAUAAAACUAAAUAAAAUAAAACCUCGAAAUAUAAACAAGGAAAGUAAACAAAAUAUUGCUAAAUUAUAUUUUAGAUUGAUUUUAUGAUCCAUGUUAGAACUGGCCUAUGGAAAAUCUGACCGUAGCAUAUGCUACAGUUGCAACGGUCUAAAUCCGCCCCUGACA